rnacentral:lncRNA from 1 species
CAUAUCAGCCGAGCAGAUACUUUAGUUUCUAGGUCCGGGAUGGAGAUUUGAUCUUCCAUACGGAUGUCAUACAGGGAUCUAACUUUGGAAAGUAGCUUGGAGUCAUUAAAUCUAAAAUGAAGUCCAUGAAGAUCGACGAUGUGUGGACAUUCAUUGAUUCACCUAAAGGGGUAAAACCCAUAGAGUGUGAGUGGACUUU